CAUUUGAUCAAUUGGUCUGCGACACCAAGACGUAGUUUCUUAAUGGUCUUGCAUAAGCGUAUCUAGAUUACUGUUUUCAUGUAUCCAUGGCUACCAAUUAUGUGCGAAUGGAAUUACUUACUGCGAAACUGGAUACUGCUGUAAUAGCGGCCUUGAAUGCUGUCACAGUUGGGGUGCGGGUAGCAUAGCUGGCACGGUGAUUGGUGUGUUGGUGUUUAUCGGAAUAGUGGUCGGGAUCUACGUGUGUUGUCGGCGAAGAUACCAUCCCGUGGUCGUCCAGCAAACCGGAUCGCCUGGCGUGACGGUUGUCAAUACUAACAACCAAAUGGGACAGCAAGUCCAGUAUCCAGGGCAACAGUUCGCCUCGCCACCAUAUGCGGGAGGUGGCGCCGCCUAUCCACCACAAACAAAACAGGGCGGGAAUUACUAAAGACUAUGAUAUUACUAGCUAUCGUGAUGAUUUGAACAACAUAAUAUUUGAACUAAUGAAAAUAUCUACAUGUAUUUGUGUUUUUCUUAACUGUUAACCAUUAACUAUUAAUUAUGUCUUACUGAUUUCAAUUAAACUGAAACAGCUGUGUUAAAGGUGUGGAUGAAGUUCCUGCUUGCAAGAUCCGUCUUCAAGCAUGUGUUGAAAGUAAGACUUGGGACCGUGUCGCUAUUAAUGAAGACAUAGUGUUGUUCUUUGAUACAAAACGUUCCUGCGUUCAUGCUGUCAGUUUUAAAAUUGUAUUCGUUCGACGUCGUUAUAUAGUUCCAUCAGUUUUUAAUCGUGGGUUAACUGAUUGCCAAUAAUCUUAAAGUGAGUAAACUGAUCGCCAAUAAUUUUGC